rnacentral:lncRNA from 1 species
GUUUUGGACCCUAGCGAGAUUGAUCAAAAUCAACAAUGGCUGAUCCCUUUGUUCAAAAAUUAAAAUUAAACCAAGAAAAAAAAAAAAAAAAAAAAAAAACACGUUAAUGAAAGCAGGACAACCUCUGAAUCCUACCAAUCUUUUGCUUGCCAUGAUGGCAGUGGUAACAUGUCAGGUAAUCGGUGUAUCAGCAGGUAAUCAUACAUAUUGGGCAUAUAUACCUAAUCCCCCAUCAGUAAGAGCAGUUCCCUGGGGGGAACCAGAAGUGCAGGUAUGUACUAAUGAGACUGCCUUCUUUCCCCUGCCAGCUUGCAGAGGAAUAGAACAACUAUCUCAUCAUAAACAACAAUAUAAUAUUAGUAAUUUGACCAUUGCAAUGGAAGGUGUUCCUUUGUGCAUAGGAGGGCACCCCUUUUGUCUGUCCACCAAGGAAUGUUCUCAUCAUUCCUAUAAUACAUGGGGGAUAAAGUACAAUAAUUAUCAUUUUGCUACUUUUAAUGUGCUUGUUUCCACCAGGGGCUUUAACACCUCGACAGAACCAACAGACAUUCAUAAUGGAAUACAUAUGUCACUAUGUCCUGUUAACUUUUUCGCUCCUUUUCUAGAAUCUUUGGAAUGGGAACGUUGCCGAGGUCAUAGACCCUCUAAAGUCAUGAAUUAUUCUGGGUCUAUCAUUGUAGAUUGGAGUCCAGAUCAUGGGCAAUUCUUAGAAAAAUGGUCAAAUAAAUCUCUUAGAUGGCAUCGUGCAAAUGGUACUUUGAUGGGCAAUGGAAAUGAAACAACUAAAUGGCAGCAAUUUGCACUUGUCCCUCCUCAAUUACAACUGCAGGGAUAUCCACACAUUCAAGGGGCUAUUUGGAAACUAUGGGCAAUUUCUGGUAAUCUUACUGUUUGGUCAGGAAACUAUACUAUGGAUAGUGAUGACUCUUCGGGUCCAUUUCAUGUUAAUUUACAUGUUAAUAGAUCUUAUUCCGCAAUGGCAUGUGUAAAAUAUCCUUUUGCAUUGUUAUAUGGGAAUUGGACUUGGAAUGAUACUAUGGGGUCUAUGUCAUGUGAUUAUUGUAAUCUAACUCAUGUGUAAAAUAUCCUUUUGCAUUGUUAUAUGGGAAUUGGACCUGGAAUGAUACUGUGGGGUCUGUGUCAUGUGAUUACUGUAAUCUAACUCAAUGUGUAAAUCAGUCUUGGUGGGAAGAAUUUGAAAGAUGAGCCUAUAACUCUAAUUUUUCGUUAGUAAUUGUUAAAGCUUGGACAGAAGUAUGGUUGCCUAUAAGUUAACUAGGCCAUGGUCAGAUUCUUUUGCUGUCUCUCAUCUAGUAACCACUGUACAGACUUUGCUACAUCAAUCUCGACGCAUGCUUGGUAUGGUCAUUGAUUGCUUCGAUUCUAGCAGUUGCGUCAGUAACUACAACAGCGGCGAUAGCAGGCCUCGCGUUACACCAAGGGAUUCAAACAGCUGAUUUUGUUCGGGACUGGCAUAAAGACUCUCAUUUGUUAUGGCAACAACAGCGAGAUUUGGAUGCACAA